rnacentral:lncRNA from 1 species
AUUCAAUCUUUGUUGAUAAAUUAGUUUUUUUCUUUAACCUAUUGAUUCUACUUUGUUAUGAAUGACUCUUGAUAUUGUCUACUUUAUUAUUACUCUGAAAGCUGGCAACAGUCAAGUAUUGUAGCUUCAUUCUGUUGCUCUAUAGGAGGGAAAAAUACCUAUAUCAUACAUUUCAUAUAAAAAUUGAAACACUUGAAAUUGGAGUAGUAGAUCAUGCCCAUUAAAAGGAAAAGGAGUAGAGAAUAAACAGAGAUCAUAAUAAAAAUAGAGAUGAAAAAAGAUGACUUUGGAGAACAAAAAUAAGGAAGUAGUAGUAUUUGAGAUGUAGAUCAGGAAGACAUAUUAUAAUUGUAGAAAGCAUUAAAGAUGACAAAUUUACAAAUAUUUUGAGGAAUAAUAUACAAAUUGCAGAAAAAAUUGUCGAUUGAUGAAACUGAAUAAUGACAAAUUCAAUACCUGUUAGUGAAUUGAACGCAGAAUCUUGAUCUGGGAUUGGAGAUGCAUAGUAUGUUAAAAAUGACAUGAUAAAGUUUUUUCCUGAAAAGAAAGAAUUAAAAUUCAUGAUUAUAAAGUGACACCUUACAUAUAAUGGUGAAUGAAAUCAAUGAGAGGAUAGAGGAACUUUGCCAUUGAAUUGCAGUGUUCAAAAUGUUUGCCAUUUCCCCUAUCAAUAGGUUUAUAUUUAUAGCCCCAACUAUAAAUUAUUCUUUUGACUUAAUUGAAUACCAUUUAACUCUUUUUUGACCACAAUAAAUACUAUUUGAUUGAAAUAUGUUUUAUACAGAUUAAAUCUAAAAAGAAAUAUGACCAGUUUUAUUAAAAAAUAUAAAACUUUGACCAAGUAUUUGCUUUCUUUCUUAUUUGAAUCAAUAAAUUAAUAUUUUCAUUAUUUUAAAAAAAAAAAAUCAUGUAUUCUCCUAAAAAAAUAUUGAAAUAAUCGAAAGUGCUAAGAAAUUGAUCCAAAGUAUUGCAAGAUAUUGUAAAAUAUAGAAGAAAAGCGAGAAAGAAAUAUAAAGAGAACAUAAGAUUAUAUUGCAUCCACAAGUCUAUCUUUACACUAAAACUUGAGUAAUAGGAUACAAAUACAAAUAUUAAUUGAAUGGUCAAAUGUAAUUAAACAUCCUUGACAGUUCAUUCACUAAUGGAAGUUAUAAGAAUAUGGAAGAUCAAGGAUAGACAUCCACUAAUACUCAUAACACUCCCCCCUUAGAUGCUCAUCCGAGAUAUGUCUCAUUAAAAUCUUAUUAGAGAAAAAUCUGAUUGAAAAAAAUUCUAGUGAAAGAAAAAGAGUACAACAUCCUUUUGUGUCAUAAUCUGCCUCGUUAAAAACCUUAUAAGGAAAACCCAAUGGAAUAAAAUCAUGGUUUAGAGAAAAAGAGUGCAAAAUACAUUUAAGUCUCCCCCACAUAAAUACAUUAUAUGUGAGUUGAAGAAGGACGUCAAAUAAUCUUUUAUGCUAGUUACAAAAAUCUUUACUUGACGGUGACUAUAUAGAACGAUAUCAUAUAUCUCCAUGCUUUUCUCCAAAAUCUUUCAUAUGAAAUUGUAGAAAGAGUCUCCGUAUAAAAUUAGAAAAUCACAAGUUUCUUGUAUGUGUGAAAUCAUAAUCCUUAACAAAUAGCAUUGUCCACUUGCUAACAUUUUCAAAUGAUACUGUUGUUUCUUUAAGAUACAAAUUGUAUGUUUGAGUUUGUUUGUCCAAUUCAAAUUGUUCAUAAUUUUCUUGAAGAUGUGAUCUUUACUCACGUCAAGCGACAUCACAAUCAUUCUGUUACAUAAUCAACUAGAUUUGUUCAUAUCGACCUUUAUAUAACAAAUUUUAGACUCUCAUCAGGAGUUCUAAUAAUAUUUAUACGAUUAUCAUAAAAUAGGUAAGAAGAAAUUCAUUUCCAUAUCCUUAAAAUGGAGAAAUAUGUCAUCUUUUCAAUAAUCUUGAUAGUAUGUCUUACACAAAUGAAAUCCUUCAGAUAGUUUAAUAUAAUCAACACUAUCAAGUGAGCCAAAUAAAUUGUACCACAUCUUUCAUAUAAUUUGAGUCUUUCAUGUUCUACUAAACUUAAUCAAGUAUGAAAAAGUUCUUGAAUUCACUUCAGGUGAGUAUUUCUCUAAACAAUAUA